rnacentral:rRNA from 1 species
AUUGAACGCUGGCGGCAGGCUUAACACAUGCAAGUCGAACGAGUGGCGGACGGGUGAGUAAUGCUUGGGGAUCUGGCUGAUGGAGGGGGAUAACUACGGGAAACUGUGGCUAAUACCGCGUACCAUAGGAUGAGCCCAAGUGGGAUUAGGUAGUUGGUUGUGUAAAGGCUCACCAAGCCGACGAUCUCUAGCUGGUCUGAGAGGAUGACCAGCCACACUGGAACUGAGACACGGUCCAGACUCCUACGGGAGGCAGCAGUGGGGAAUAUUGCACAAUGGGCGCAAGCCUGAUGCAGCCAUGCCGCGUGUGUGAAGAAGGCCUUCGGGUUGUAAAGCACUUUCAGCGAGGAGGCGUUAACUACAGAAGAAGCACCGGCUAACUCCGUGCCAGCAGCCGCGGUAAUUC